CUGUAUAUAAAUUAGAAAUUCUAUGGUAUGAAAACGGAGUCAAUGCAAAGGCAUAUAAAAAAUCUUAAUUGUCUCAAAAUUCAUGGCAAAAAUGUUGUAAAGUGUAAUGCAACUAUUAACAGCCAAAAUUCCACAGGGUUUACCACAUGCCUUUCAGCUUGCCUCAGUGACACUUUCUCAGCAGCCUUGGACUUCUCCUUGUUAGUCAGCAGUAAAGACGGACCUACCACGUAUGUGCCUAUUCGCACCUUCAUAGGUUCCAAAUAUCAAAACCCUUAAUUCAAUCAUAAAUCAUAGGAGGCACUUGAAAUUUUUUAUUUUUUUUAAAUAGUCUCAAUACAUAAAGCUCCUUUUUCAAGUAGCCUUCAUUAAUUUGUAAAAUGUAAUGCAUAGAAUAGGCACAAUUAGUCUGGCUCAUACAAUAAACAUCAAAAUAAUCUGAAUUGGAGUAUACAAAAACUCUAUACACAAUAAUAAGCAGGGCUGCGUCACAUACGAAAGAGCGACUAAACAACCAAAUAAAAUAUAAACCAACAAUUAGUCUGGCUUCCUAUUUAUUCCUAUGAUAAAAAUAAACACUAUCUGCCUGAGACUUUAAUAACUAUGGCCAAGUGAUAGCCAUUCAAAUAACAUAAUCAUUAAAAGUCAGAUUUAUUAAACUGAGAAGUAAUAGGGACUCCGCUCAACCAAAAACAGGGUGAUAAAUUGAUCUAGGGCCAGCACAAAUGCACAUGUAUAGCAUGAAAAAUAAUAAAUGUUAGGCACUCGCUGUGCUGAAGUAUAAGGAUUUUAAUUGAUCACAUGCAGCUACGUUUUUGCCCUGCACUUUGUCAAAGACCUG